GCCUGGGUGGCUCAGUCGGUUAAGCGUCUGACUUCAGCUCAGGUCAUGAUCUUACGGUUCGUGGGUUCAAGCCCCACGUUGGGCU
rnacentral:tRNA from 1 species